UAAGCAAGGGGCACCACCAAGCAAGCGGCACUACAAAGACCAAGGAGCUCGCCAAACAGGAUCUGUGGAGAGGUAUUCACCAUGUGGUGAAUGAACACACAUGGACAUUGGGACAUUGUGACUGCCUGGGGGACAACUACACCAAGGAAUGAAUCAAAAAUGUCUCUCCAGCACAUCAGGCUCUCACACACAUUGUCCUCAACACAAGGUGGCUGAAGGAUCUUCAUAAAUACCUGAACUUCAGAUCAACAGCUGAUCUUGAGUCCUACCAGAGCCAUAUUCUGCUGUACGCCAGCAAGCGUUUUUCCUUUUCACCACCAGUCUGAGGCCAGAACACUGCUGGCAGCACUAGACUACAACUUUCACAAGGACAGACCAGCCAGGCAGAACGCAGAUGGAACCAAGAUAGGCUGGAAUCCGUUGGCGAGAUGCCAAGGAGAAGAACCCCGAGGGCCAAAGACCCUAAAAGACUUGGACACCUACCCCUUAUUCUUCAGCCAACCACUGAGGGACUUGCGCAAUCACAAGUGAGAAGAGGCCUAGCAUUGGGUGAACUUUGAGACUAUGCAAGAGCUCCAGAAACCUCCUCCAGCUCAGCAACCCUGUGAGAAAGCCAGGGAACGACCCACAGACACACCGUUAUACACCAAGUACAUUACAAUUACAGAAUUUGAAAGUGGUUUUAUUUACUUUUUGUACAACAGAAUUAUUUGCCCCUCAAAGUAAGAAUGACAUUUUUGUCUGACUUAUCUGUUGGAAUACAUCUCUAGAUUAACAGUAAAGCCCAUAAUAAACCAAGACCCCUGCUGCUGGACCUCUAAAGACCCCCCUAUCAACCAUCUAGAGGGAGUCCUCCCUGGCUGCUCUGUAAACAUGGCCUUACUUUGAGAGCACAUUACUUAAUUAAAGCCCUAACAUCAUCACACGAUUGCCCCGUGCAAAUUGCCAAGCAGCUCCUCCUAAAAGGCUCUUCACAAAAAGUGACAUCACACAUCCCAACUUGGCAACAAAUCAUUGGGUUAGAAGACAAAAUACGAGAGUGACAACCUGAUUCUAGCCUAUUGAAACAACACAGAGCAUACCAUCCCCCUCCUCAAACCCCUUGCUUCAAACCUGAACCUUAUUUUGAUUUAGAUUGUGAUCAGUGGUGUACAUGUUAGGUUAUUUGAAUGGGUUGAUCAUGUGAUGACAGUGGACCUUUAAACAGUUCAGAUUAAAUCUAUAGAGGUCUUUACACAGCUAGAUCCAUUGAUCCACCUAUGCUGCUACAUCUUACCCGGACCACCUGUCAGCCAUAGCUCUAUUACAAUAUAUUGUUGGCCUCUUUACCCUCCUCUAAUCCUCCCAUCCCUGUGUUCAUGGGGCUCUACCUGCCUCUAGGGGUGUAUAUUAUGUCUGGGCUGACACAUACAUCUUUUAUUUCUUGUUAGGUGAUAACUGACAAGGUUCUCGACCAUAGAUGUUUUUGAUCUGGUUAUAUUCUGAGUUUCUGUUUUAGCCAUUUCUCAGUUGAGCAUUUUUCUUGGUUGCUAAGGUUUAACUUGCAUUUGAUCAUGUUCACAUUGCAUCUUAGCUCCUCAGGCUGGAAUCAGCAAGUCGUCUGCGACCCCCAACACUUACCUCUUUUUCUCACUUCUCUUUUCGGGUCGAGUUGAUCCAGAUCCAAUACUAAUGCUGAUGAUGCUUGUUCUGUAGAACAUAUGUAAAAAAACGUUGUCCCUGCUACUGCAUCUGUUUAUCUACAAAUAGCUAGCAGCUGACUACUCUGCUGUUUACAGUCUAGCUCUCUCACGCACGCUCCCUCAUGCCCAAGCGCUCUCUCUUGUCCCUGAUUCUCCAACCACAGGAGCUGUGGACGACAACUCUGUUUCCUGCACCAAGGGCAACAUGCGGGGGUGACAAUCCUGUUUCCUGUAACAAGGGCACCAUGCGGGCGGGAUAGCUCUGUUUUCUGCACCAAGGGCACCAUGCUACUACAUCACAAACUCACACCACUGCCAACACGUCAACUCUAUACCGCAUGUGCAAAUGUAAAUAUCCAUUGUCUAGGCAGUAAUGGGCGAAAUGUGCCAGCUGGCUUACACAGCGGUCUGGUCUCUGACCGUAACACUUCCUCUCUCUGUCUGAGGGUACUGUAUCUCCCUGCAGUUGCCACAGGUGCACUAAGUUGCAUGUGUGAGAGGUGGCUCACCAUUCCGUCACCGGUAAAUAUCUAGGACAUCAAAAAACAACCCUGGCUCUGGCUGAAACAUCAGCCUCACCACCUCCCUGUUGUCUGAAUCAUCCAGCUCUCUGAUGAGGAAUUUGUGAAUGAACAGAUGCACACAUAGCCUAUUAUCAGUAAGGCAGAAUGUGAUAUUUCUCAUACAGUAUGUAUGGUCAAGGUCUACGAUUAAAUCAAAGCCAAUUCAAACACUACUUUUUAUUGCAAAUUGGAUAAAACUAGACCAUGUUUCUGUUGCUAGCUGUAGCUGCAAUUGUGUCAAACUAGCUUUGGUUUAUGAAACUUUAGCAAGGCUAGCAAGGGGCCC